rnacentral:rRNA from 1 species
AUUGAACGCUGGCGGCAUGCCUUACACAUGCAAGUCGAACGGCAGCGCGGACUUCGGUCUGGCGGCGAGUGGCGAACGGGUGAGUAAUACAUCGGAACGUACCCUGUUGUGGGGGAUAACUAGUCGAAAGAUUAGCUAAUACCGCAUACGACCUGAGGGUGAAAGUGGGGGACCGGAAACGGCCUCAUGCAGCAGGAGCGGCCGAUGUCUGAUUAGCUAGUUGGUGGGGUAAAGGCCCACCAAGGCGACGUUCAGUAGCUGGUCUGAGAGGACGAUCAGCCACACUGGGACUGAGACACGGCCCAGACUCCUACGGGAGGCAGCAGUGGGGAAUUUUGGACAAUUGGGGCAACCCUGAUCCAGCAAUGCCGCGUGUGUGAAGAAGGCCUUCGGGUUGUAAAGCACUUUUGUCCGGAAAGAAAUCGCGCUGGUUAAUACCUGGCGUGGAUGACGGUACCGGAAGAAUAAGCACCGGCUAACUACGUG